UACGUAGGGGGCAAGCGUUGUCCGGAUUUAUUGGGCGUAAAGAGCUCGUAGGCGGUGUGUCGCGUCGGUCGUGAAAACCUGCAGCUUAACUGUGGGCGUGCGGUCGAUACGGGCAUCACUGGAGUUCGGCAGGGGAGACUGGAAUUCCUGGUGUAGCGGUGAAAUGCGCAGAUAUCAGGAGGAACACCGGUGGCGAAGGCGGGUCACUGGCUCAUUACUGACGCUCAGGCGCGAUAGCGUGGGGAUCAAACAGG
rnacentral:rRNA from 1 species